UUUUCUGGGGAUUAGAUUUUUAUUUUAAAUUCAAUGGAUCUGGCGGUUUUUAAAUCUUUUUAGAGGAACCUGUAAUUUAAAUGAUAGUCCACGAUUUUUUUUACCUUUAAUCUCUUGUAUACCUCUGUCGUUGAAUGUAGUGAAAAUUUAUUUUCUUUAUUUUUAUUUAAUUUAUGUUAGGUCAAGGUGCAGUUAUGUAAAGGUUAUUAUGGGUUACAUUAUUUUUAGUUUGCGGAUUUUUUUUUUAGCUAAUGAUGAAUUUGGAUUUAAAAGUAAUUUUUUUUUUUUAAUUUUUU
rnacentral:rRNA from 1 species